GAGGGCCUUUAUGUGUGAGAGAAUGUGUUGAUUUGUUGAUAAAAUUUUGUCUAAUACAUAAACACCAUUUUAAAAUCCAGGAAAGACCCAUAGAAUUAUUAAUCCAAAGUAAGAUAUUUAAAAAUACACAUUAAUAUUUUUAUUUUUUGUCUGUUUGAACCUUUUUUUCUCUAGAUUACUUGAUUGGAGACAUAUAUGUUGAAAGAAUCAUUGUUAAACUUCAUGAAACUUUAUUCAAAACAAAGAAAUUAUCAGAAGCUGAAAGUAGUGACUCAUCAGUGUCUUUUAUCUGUGAUGUGGCCUAUAACUAUUUCAGCUCAGCGAAAGGAUGCUUGCUAAUGCCAUCAUCUGAAGAUUUAUUAUUAACUCUCUUUCAGUUAUGUGCUCAGAGCAAAGAAAAAACACAUUUGCCAGAUUUUCUUAUCUGUAAACUGAAAAAUACUUGGCUCUCUGGUGUAAAUUUAUUGGUUCAUCAAACUGACAGUUCAUAUAAAGAGAGUACCUUCCUACAUUUGUCUGCUCUGUGGCUGAAGAACCAAGUUCAGGCU
rnacentral:sRNA from 1 species